CUUUUUAUUUUUUAUUUUAUUUUAUGAAAUCCGACUUUAAAGAGAAAAUUAUUAUUGUUAAAUAUGGUGAUUCUUUCACGUUGAAUCUGACUGUUAUUUUUGGAUCUCAAUCUAAUUUGUCGGGAAAAAAAAAUUGAGCCCAAUCCUAAAUUUGAAAUGAUGCAAAAUUUCCUUUUUCUUUAUGACCAUUCAAUACUCUGAAACCUACUAACUCUAUUAAUUCGGUUUCACGCCCUGUACAAUCUAUUAAGAGAAAAUCUUAAUCUUCCUACCAAGACUUUCUCCAUUUACGGGCUCAAACACGCAAAUCUCCGUUUAAAGACGGCGGGAUCUCACUCAUCCCAUCAUACUCUUUGAUUAUUAUAUAAUUUUCUUUUAAAUUUCUCUUUGAAUUUUGUUUUCAUAAAAAUAAAGCACCUCAUAUUCAGUUUGAAAGAAAAAAUUAGAAGUUCAGUUGGUCCUUUUGAAAUUGAGAUUUCGUGAAAUAUCUCUGUCAACGUUUCAAGCCAAAACCCAACUGUUUUGGUGUGUUACCCUCGCAGUCCCAAAUAAGUGUCACUUUAGCUCAUUUCACGUUCUUUAAUAUAAUUUAUUAAUUUACCUAUAUUUAUUACUAGUAGAUAUUUUUUGAGAACUGAGAGAAGUAGUUCUUUAAUAUAAGAAUAUAGUGAAAAACAAUUACUAUUUUUAUUUUGAAUUGCAAAAACGACACUUAUUUUGGGAUUAAUUUUUUUUUUUGGUUUCCAUAGCGACAUGUAUUGUGAGACUGAGGGAGUAAAAUUCAAGUGAAAGUUGUCAUCCUUCUCGGACCACUCUUUUCCAAAAGAAGACAUUUGUUAAAGUAGAACAGGCCAAUUCACCCGAAAUAUUCAGAUUUUAGUAGCGAGGACUUUUUCAGCUUGACAAUUCCAAUGUCAAUCGCUUAUCCUUUAUUUGCUCUUUAACGAAAAAGAUUAGUUAAAUGCUGUUGAUUUCCCAAUGUUUUGAUGGGGAAAAAAAGUUUUGACAAAACCGAGGUGAUGAAAAAAAAAAAAAAGUGUUGCAAUGUUUAGGUGUUAGGUGCGGCAGAGAAUCAGAAUUCAGAAAACACAGUGAGUUUCGCUGUACCAAAAAAAAAAAAAAAAAAAAAAAAACUUAGGUAAGAGAAGACGGCUCUGUUUAGUGCCUCGAGGUGGGUAUCAAAGACAACAGAAUUGACUCAUUAAAUUUUCCUUACUUUAUUUAGGUGGUCUCAAGUGUAGACUGAUGUUGUAACGAACGUCAUGGCUUUGUCUUGUUGGCCUCAUCUUAUCGGUCUUCCAAGGUUUGGUUGGGUUUACUAAACCUAAUUCAUUAGGUUGCUUAGAAUGAAUUAGGAUCGACUUAUGACUGAUAUUUGUUUUUAUUUUUUUUUAAAUGAAAACACUUUGUUUCCUGAUGACAAAGUCGGGAUUUAAAACGUAUGAGUUCUGGGUUCUAGUCUUUUGGUGCAUUAAGUUAACAUUUUGUAUAUAUUCAAUAGAUUUAAGACAAUUACAAGGUUUUGCCAGAACUAUUAGGUUCAGCCGAAUCCGUGUACCGAUAUUCUAGCUUUGUCCCCCUGCCUAAUAUACCUAUAAGUUGGCUAUUAAACUCUAGACUAGAUAUAGAAAAAAAAAUCAAAAAGAAUACUUUCCUCAUUUUAGUUUAUGUGGCCUAGUUUAACUAAGUAUGCGUCGAUAAAGAAUUAAAGAUUUCCGAAACUUUAAUGAUUUUAAUAAAAGCUGAGCCAUUCCUAGCUUAAGUGGUGCCUCGAUUCGGUCUGACCAAUCGAGAAGAGAUUCACAUAGAGAACCCCUCCCCCCUUCCCAACCCCAACGCGAAAGAUGUGAGAAAGUCCUAGUCCUAAAAUAAAAAAUAAAUUAUUUUUUAGUAUACAGAAAUAUUAUAUCUUAAAAAAUUAAAAAUAAAAAGUGUAAAAUGAGAUAUGAGGGGUGCUAAUUUAACUGGUUCCACAUGGAGGGGAGUUCUAUCACCCAGUUGUCCUGGGUGGCGUGAUUUCGUUUCAACAUUUUGUGCGAUCCAAUAAUUUUGGGGCUUUGGGCCAGGGCAUUGUUUACAAUUCCUUCCCUAUUCAUUUGGUUGGUUUCUAGUGUGGGACCACCUUCAUUGUCUCUCUUCCCUCUCCAAUUGUUAGUGCUAAUUGCUUUCAUUUUUUUUGUCUCAAUGCGAUGGUGGAAAGCCCCAAAAGUUCACUAAAUAUUUUUUGGACUUAAAUUAUACAUAUGCUAAUAUUUUUUUCUAAAAAUUAUACUAGUAUAUGCGUUAAAAAAGGAAUAUGCUUAUUACGCAAAGAUACAUGCACAUGAAUACAUUUUAAAUAACUUGAUCGCGUAAAACAUUGCCGGUAUAAGUGACUUUUAUUUAAGUUAUAUAUACACUAGUCAUGUAAAUAAUUUUUACAUUAGUAAGUCGUUUAAUCAAAUUUCGGAUUAUCAACCAACUAGAUCAGUUUAAAACUAUACGCUACUUUUUUUUUUUUUUUUUUUUUGGUGUGGCUAAUUAAUGGUGGUUGGGUGAAGACAAAUAGAGUUAGACUCUAUUAGUACCACUCGUUUGGUAUAAUUAUGUGGGGACUAGUUGAUUUUGCCCCAUUCUUUUUACAGUGACUGCACUUUCAGAAUGUUAUGGGGUCAUUUCCAUAAAAAAAAAACGUGGUCAACUAGAAACAUUCUGUAGUAUGCCAUUGUAAAGGGUAUGUCUUUUUCAGUUUUUCUUUUCUUUUUUGGUAAGGGCUGUACUUUUGUCCGUUUGCCAAUUUCAGCCAGCACUAACACUGUUAACAACUUUGUUAAACAUUGUGUGUGCAAAAAAUCUAUUACUAAGGGAGCAGUAAAGUAACAUGGUCAGUUCGUUUCCUUUUUUGUUAAACAUUGCCAAGACAUAUGAUCAAACUCGAAAAUUCAUUAUGCUACGGUGUUUGUUUAUUUUAAUUAGUGAAAUUUUUACUUUGCUUGAUAUCAUUGUGGAUAUUGAAUACUGAAUAGUGAAUAUAA